rnacentral:lncRNA from 1 species
AGCCCAUGAUUCUCCAGCAUUUACCCAUGAUACGGUAAUUAACAAUAUAAUGACAGAAAUAAAUAGCCAGUAAGAAAAAUAAAACGCCUCAUUUGAACAGCCAAUCCAUCAUUAUUAGAGUUAAUAAUAUUGGAUUACUUACUAGGUAGCUGAUGAUUUUCUCGUGCUACCCACCGAAUCUUUGACAGAUAACGCCACAAUGACUCACAUGAAUCCACCAUGAAACCCUAGAAUCUUGAGAUAAAUCAUGAUUCACUUCGAGGGAAGAUCACGAACACUCACAGCGAAACAAUGCAAGUAGGUGACUGGCAGGGUAAAAAAUCAAAACUUUUUCAAUUCCCUUGUAAAUUGAACUAGCAGCAUUUGGAUUAAAACCCCAGCACUCAAAGAGCCGUGGCUGACCAGCGCAAAUACUUGCUUCUGAUUUGAUAAUGAUAAUGAUAAUGGAUCCAAAGGCUUAAUGGGUAAUACAAGUAAAGGUGAAAACUUUUUACUUGAUACGAAAUUUUGAGGGGAAAAAAGAAGGAACUCGUAAUGAGAAAUGGAGAAUAUAAGAGAGGAGAUAAGCUUUGGCUGCUAAGAGUAGAUGCGGGGCAGUGGUAGAGACUAGAGUGAAAAGAGAGAAGAAGACAGAAGAAAGAGAAUGAGAGAGAGAGAGAGAGAGAGAGAGAGAAAAGAAAAAAAGAAAAAAAAAGUUUGAGAAAAUGGCUUUUGCCAACUAUAUAUAAAUGCUUCUCUCAUUUACAGCUAGCUAGUCAGCCAAACAGGUCGCUGAAUACUCUUAAACCCCACAUGCCCUUCUCUUGUCCUUCCCCUUUUGCCCCUGCAUUUCUUCCAAAAACACCAGUCUCUCAUUUUGCCCGCAGUAAAAGGGGGGACAAUGUUAAUCAUACUAUGAGUAAAUCAUAUUUACGUUAUGUUAUACCAUCACGCCGUGUUCCACUUAACGAAUGUGUCUUUCAUCAUAACGUAUUCUUAUUUUUAUAAUAAUGAUAUAGUUAGCAAUAUUAUCAAUGUUAUAAUAAUCUGCGUUGUCAUAUAAUACAAUACAAUUAAAUACAAUAUUUCUGUCCAUUUACAACUUUCACGUGUUUGUGAAAUUCAUUAUUAUAUAUUAACUUUUAAAAUUAUUAUUUCAUAAAAUACUGUUUAAUUCAUUUUUUAAAAAAAAAAAAAUUGAAUUGAGAUUGAUUGAUGUUCAAUUGAUAAUAGAUUUACAAACUUUAUUACCUUACAUUAGGCGUUGCGCACAUCAAAGAAAUUAAUAAGUUAACCACCACUUUUUCACCAUAUUUCACAACUCCUCUUUUACUGUUUAUUAUAUUUCCAAAUGUUCGAUUAAAUUUAACGACUCUUCUUCGACUAAUGUUUGUUAUCCCAUCAUGUAAAUUGACCAUAGCCUCGAUUUAUGUUAGCGUGUUAAUUUUUUUUGGUUGAUUUUGUCUUUUUUGUGCACUUGUUCAAUUUUCAAAUAGAUUUCAACAGUCGCACCAAGCCUAAUUAAUUUUUUUUUUCCUAGUAAUAUUGAAAAUUAAAUAAGUUGAUUUUGAUACUGGUAAUAUUGAGUUUUUCUUUAAAGCUGUAAUUUGAGUUUAUUAUCGCAAUUUUACUAAUCAUCAAACACGUGAUGAUGUGAAAACCCUUUUGUUCUCUAAUUUUGAAAGUUGACAUUCUCAAUUGCCGACGAAAUAGUUGCACAAAUAAUAUAUAAUAGACAAAUGCUCCUUUCAAAAUCAGUGAACAAAUUGAAGGUCUCUAUCAUCGAAAUUUUUAACCUCACAAUUACAUAAUUAUAUAUAUAUAUAUAUAAAUGCUCAUUAAUUAGAAAAAAUGAACAAGUCUUUAAGAACUUGUGCCUUUCAAAAAACAUUCCCAACAAAUUUAGCAGAAAAGGAAUUCUCAAAUCAUCUAUCUUCUUUUUCUUUAUGUGGCUACCUAUAAAAUUAAAAAAAAUAAAUAAAUAAAUAAAAACUACAAUUGCCAGCCCAUUUAUCUGACUCGUCCCUGCAAUCAUUCCUGUUGGUCCACACUUGCCAAAGCACGCCAUUUGCACGUGCCUCCCAUGUGAUUGUCGCCAUAAUGAUUGUUUUGGUAACUUCCCCCUGCAACAAUCCGAGUAGAUACCGUUUGACCCUGAUUAAGAUUUUAUGUAAUCCGUUUAAAUUAUAAAUUGAUUAAAUUCUAUCUAAAUGGAUUAAUGUUAAUCUCUUUUUAUGAUUUACACCUAUCGGAUUAUGAUUUUAUAUUAUUUUUCUUUUUAAAAAUUUAUCCAAUAAAUGUUAUCGAUGCUUUCUUGAGAUAUAUUUUAACAAAUUAGACACACGUGGAUAGAGUCAAGAAAAAGAAAAACAAAGCAAUUCUUUUUUUUUUUUAAGUUUUUCAACUCCUGAGAUGAAUAUCUAUGUAGACAUAAAAACACAAUAAUUUAGUAAAUUUUUUUAAUAAUGUUAAUGAUUUCAAUUUGAUUCUCAACUUAAGUCCCAAUAUACACGUCACUUUAUCCAAUAGAUGAUAACAUUGAUAACUUAUAAAAUUAAUAUUCCAUUUAAAAGAUGAAUACCACAUCAAUUAAGACUUAAAUAUUGAAAUCAUUAUACUUACACAAAAAUUUUAGUCGAAUAUAUGUAUGCAAAUGAUUUCAUUUUACGAGAGAACUCAACUUUGUAUACUAAUUAGUGUUGAGUGCUUAUAUUGUUUGGGUGGGACUUGCGAGGGCUUUAUCUCAUCCGAUUUUAAUUUUAUUUAUUUCUUGUUGGAUCUAUCACAUUCAAUAUUACAAUUCGAAUUGAUUUGUCGUAUUAAAGUAAACCAAUAUGACCCAUUUAUUAUUCAUAUGAAAAAGUACAAACAAAAUCAACACAAUUAUUGAACAAGUGUAGUGGUGACACAAAUUUAACAUAUUUUAAAGAUAUCAUUACAUAUGGUGCAUAAUAUUUUGGUACUGCCUAUUCAAUCUCUCAUCGUACCUUACUCCAAAUUUACACAUGCACUUUCUAAUUAUUUAGUAGAACAAAUAUCAUAUUAUUAUACUGAAUUCAAAACACAUUAACGAAAUACAUUUACUCCAAAGAACUCCAAAUAUGAACCAAAUAUAGUUAGAUAAACAGGGUAACUUGAAUAUGAUACAAUUAACCAUGUAUAGAUUGACGUAUGCUAUUACAAUACUGCAACUGAUACUUUCCUUAUACAAUUACAUUUAUAAUUCGGACUAAUUCUACGUAAUGUAAAACAAGACAAUACUAAAUAUAAUUUUGUAUAAUUAAAUUGAGUUCAAUUCAAUUCAAUCCAACGUGUUAAAAUUGCGUUACGAGGACCAAAUUGACCCCUCCAUCGAGUGGUACCACUAUUAAAUGCUAAAAUACGCACUUUUAAUACUCGGGGGAAAUACAACAACUAUAGAAAAAGGACCCAUGUCUUUUGGUACUUAACAAGACCAACCAAGGCUCGUGACAAAAGCGUCGCCGCUUCGCUCGCUAGCAAGUAUACGAUUAUUCAACUUAUUCGUGCACUGUGCUCGAAUGGCCUCUUUGUUCUUUGCUGUCUUUCGGGUCCACUUUCAUCUGUCGUUAACAUUUUGCAAUACCAACUUCCUCACAUUCAUAAUAAAUUAUAACUUUUUAGUGUUAAACAAAUAGCUAUGGUGAUGGGUUGAUUUGUUUGGCUGCUAAAAAAAAAAAAAAGAGAAAAAAAAAGUCUCCCUCUAAAUGAUUCCACAAUCUAUGCGACUCUUUUUGUCUUUGUAUUGAAUGUAUUGAUGGCAUGGGAGCAAAGUUCCCCAUUUUCACAUUGUGAAAUUGACCUUUACUUUUAUUACGUGUUGAUUGUCAUCACACAACCGUCACAGCUCACGACACAAGCUAGCUUUGGGGUAAUUGUCAAAACUUUUUACAUUUGUGUGCAUUUGAUACCUUCUUUAGUGGUGAGAAUCGGUAGUGAUUUCUAAUUUUCUACAACACAUAUACAAGACUGCCCACUCCCAUCUCUUUGAAUAAAUGGCUUCAGCCUAAUUGGGGUCAAUGAUUUUAGUUGAAUUGGUAAGAUACGGGAUGGUUCCAUUUUUGUAGUUAAGUAAUGCAUUCGGAAGUAGGCAAUGUACCCAAAGCUUAAAAACAUGCUAAAAAUCUCAAUCUAAAUCCUUUUUUUCAGUGAAAAAUCGAUGUAUCAGCGUACCUGACCGACCUACUUCAGCUAAAGAGAUAAAUCCUCUCUGUACAGACAAGCUGAUUAACAUGUCAUGGAUAUACAUGUUAGUGCAACAAAAGUUGCACUAAAUGAAACAUAAUUUUGAAUGAUAUGAUAAAACAAAUAGCAAGGAAAAAAAUGUGAAUAAACAAAAUGAUAAUAAAACAUUAAUCUCAAAUCAUUUGUGUGGGUGCUAAUUGGGUUAAUUAGUUAAAUAUUAUGUGGAUCCCAUACUAUUAUAGAUGUUGGUGAUGAUAUUUUUUUUCCAAAACUUUUGCAAUAACAUAUGAACGCAUAAUUCUACACUUGUUGAGUUGAAAUACUCAUCGACUAGAUUGUAAGAUGGAAUUACUAAAUAAUUUGACAGGUAUGAAAUUAUAAUACCCGCUACAUGAAUGUCGUUUUAAUGUCUGAUAUGAAAAUGGUGAGAUACUAUUAGAGAACUGAGAUAUACUAUAUAAAUAUACUGAUACCUUGGCACCUUUUUACAUUAAAAGGGCAAAAAAAAAAAACUCGUAUUUUGUAAAUGCACAAUCAUCUGUAUACAUUAAUUAAUUUAAAUUUGUAUGUGAAUCUCGAAGGUGUACUGGACUGACCGAAACCGAAAGUCAUUACAGAGAGUAGGCCCAAUAGAACUAGGCCGAACAUGAGGUCCAUUUGAUUGUUGGGUCAAUAUAUAUACUGGACUUUACCAUUAAUUUGGUCGGUAGAGGGUUAUAGCUGACGAGCUCAACGAGAGUGGGACCAAUCACAAUUAAAACAAGUUGGUAUUAUUUUGUCUUUCAUUUGGUCCUCUCUCUCUCUCUCUCUAUAUUUUCCUCGCGCUCGCCAAGCCAAUAGAGCCAAAAAGGAAAGAAGAGCGGAAACACCGAACACCAUAACAAACACUAGUAAUGACAACAACACCAACAAUGCUAAUCCACCCACAACAGACCCAACAAUUAUCCAGACCUUUGAAUUACUCCUUUCCUUUACUCGGUGGUGGUGGUGGGAAACCUGGUGGUGGUCUUGGGGCAAUGGAUUCAACUACUAUAGAGAAAUGCCCCUGUUGGACAGUUAAACAUGUGUUGCCUGAUACUACAUUGCUGAAGUUUACCAAACCAUGUAAAUCAAACCAAACACACUUGGGAACAGACCCAUCAGGAGCCGGCAUCACAUCUUGGAAUUCAAUCGAUAUGGGGUCACCAGAUGCCCUAAUAUCCAAUUCUGGCAAAUUCUUAGCUGAUAAAUCUGAAGCAUCAUAUGCAAGAAGACCAAGAACAGGAGCCAAGUAAGUGUAUUUGGAUAAUGGAUAAUAUGUACCAGACCAAUUGCCCAAAUUCUGGUACACCAAAACAAGCCUUUCGACAUAGGGGCUCUCAAUAACCCCCAUAGGAAUACGAAACUCUUUGUACAUAUUCACACCUCUAUGUCUUAAGCUGCCACUCCUGAGCCUCAUUGCUGCAAUCUUAAUCCCAGUCAAAUUUGAAGGAACAACCCCUUCAACGGGAAUACCGGUGCUGGGACGAACAAAAGCUCUAUAAGCAUAGUCUUGGAGAAGGGCAUCAAGAGCAGGAGCAGAGCCAGAUUGAGCCACAACAUGCAGUGAAAGAAAGGAAAACAAUGUCAUAGAAACAAGCAUUGCCAGACUUCGAAGAAGCCCCAUCGAUGCUUUUCAAUCCUCCAACUUGCCAAUCAAAUUAACCUUGUAACACUCCAGUGAAAUAUUCAAUACCCACAAAGACUAUAUUAACAAAAUUCCAACACCAACUUAAAUACCUAAGAUCCAAAUCAAACAAUAACAGAAAUGCAGACGGAUAAAUGCGGCAAAUUCCUUGAAAGAAGCUUCAAGCUCAAAACUUGGGCAUUACCAAAUCAAUAAGUUGGUGUCACGUUGCCAGUGACAACGGUUACUGCAUUAAAAUAUAUAUAUAUAUGCCCUCACACUCUCAGAGGAUUAUGUAAAGCAGCUUUGAAGGUUUCAGCCGUUGUAGCCCUCUUUCUCUUUUGGAAUCCUUGUAAAAGAAGACUCGGUGACUCAAAAUAGAAUCUUUAACAGCAUUUUAAUUUUCUCCCAGAAAUUAAGCCCAUGAUUCUCCAGCAUUUACCCAUGAUACGGUAAUUAACAAUAUAAUGACAGAAAUAAAUAGCCAGUAAGAAAAAUAAAACGCCUCAUUUGAACAGCAAUCCAUCAUUAUUAGAGUUAAUAAUAUUGGAUUACUUACUAGGUAGCUGAUGAUUUUCUCGUGCUACCCACCGAAUCUUUGACAGAUAACGCCACAAUGACUCACAUGAAUCCACCGUGAAACCCUAGAAUCUUGAGAUAAAUCAUGAUUCACUUCGAGGCAAGAUCACGAACACUCACAGCGAA